GCCUUCAUGAGGACUCAAUUGUACAAGAUAAUCUGUGCUGGUUUCCAUCAUUUAGUUAUGAAAAUCAUCGUAAUUGAAUCGGCACGUGUUGUAUCAGGAUGCAUCGAUUAGUGAAUUGGCCCACCCAACUACCAACUUUCUUUACACUGUCUUCAGUUCAUUCAGGAAAACAACAGCAAACAUUGAUGCUUAUAUUUCAAAGUACUUGAAAUAUGCACCAGAGAGGACUGGAGGCAGAGGCAGAAAGAAGUAGUGCAGAUUUCCCUGCAGUGUUAAAUGUUCCCCAGGGUUCAGGACAUUUUUCAGCAUUUUCUUAAUGCUGUUAAUGUUGCCCAGUGUUCAGGCUGUUCUAAAGCAGUGUCUUUCUCUAGCUUUAUGAGUUGGCCCAUUUCAUAGAUGUUCUGAACAUUUAAAUGACAAAUGUAUUUGGUCCUUUUCGUGUAUUGUUGAUAUGAUCUAUUCUAAGAUUGUUAAUUGUUCUACACAA